GUGAACGCUGGCGGUAGGCCUAACACAUGCAAGUCGAACGGCAGCACAGUAAGAGCUUGCUCUUACGGGUGGCGAGUGGCGGACGGGUGAGGAAUACAUCGGAAUCUACUUUUUCGUGGGGGAUAACGUAGGGAAACUUACGCUAAUACCGCAUACGACCUACGGGUGAAAGCAGGGGAUCUUCGGACCUUGCGCGAUUGAAUGAGCCGAUGUCGGAUUAGCUAGUCGGCGGGGUAAAGGCCCACCAAGGCGACGAUCCGUAGCUGGUCUGAGAGGAUGAUCAGCCACACUGGAACUGAGGCACGGUCCAGACUCCUACGGGAGGCAGCAGUGGGGAAUAUUGGACAAUGGGCGCAAGCCUGAUCCAGCCAUACCGCGUGGGUGAAGAAGGCCUUCGGGUUGUAAAGCCCUUUUGUUGGGAAAGAAAAGCAGCAGGUUAAUACCCCGCUGUUCUGACGGUACCCAAAGAAUAAGCACCGGCUAACUUCGUG
rnacentral:rRNA from 1 species